rnacentral:rRNA from 1 species
CCUGACGACCAUAGCCCGUUGGCCCCACGCCUUCCCAUCCCGAACAGGACCGUGAAACGACGGCACGCCGAUGAUAGUGUGGAUUCCCCAUGCGAAAGUAGGUCAUCGUCAGGC